CACCGGCAGCCCAAGUGGUGGCCAUUUUUAUUGGGCCUAAAGCGUUCGUAGCCGGCCUGAUAAGUCUCUGGUGAAAUCCCACAGCUUAACUGUGGGAAUUGCUGGAGAUACUAUCAGGCUUGAGGUCGGGAGAGGUUAGAGGUACUCCCAGGGUAGGGGUGAAAUCCUAUAAUCCUGGGAGGACCACCUGUGGCGAAGGCGUCUAACUGGAACGAACCUGACGGUGAGUAACGAAAGCCAGGGGCGCGAA
rnacentral:rRNA from 1 species